rnacentral:rRNA from 1 species
GGUUGAAGUUCAGGUAACACUGAAUGGAGGACCGAACCGACUUACGUUGAAAAGUGAGCGGAUGAACUGAGGGUAGCGGAGAAAUUCCAAUCGAACCUGGAGAUAGCUGGUUCUCUCCGAAAUAGCUUUAGGGCUAGCCUCAAGUGAUGAUUAUUGGAGGUAGAGCACUGUUUGGACGAGGGGCCCCUCUCGGGUUACCGAAUUCAGACAAACUCCGAAUGCCAAUUAAUUUAACUUGGGAGUCAGAACAUGGGUGAUAAGGUCCGUGUUCGAAAGGGAAACAGCCCAGACCACCAGCUAAGGUCCCAAAAUAUAUGUUAAGUGGAAAAGGAUGUGGCGUUGCCCAGACAACUAGGAUGUUGGCUUAGAAGCAGCCAUCAUUUAAAGAGUGCGUAAUAGCUCACUAGUCGAGUGACACUGCGCCGAAAAUGUACCGGGGCUAAACAUAUUACCGAAGCUGUGGAUUGUCCUUUGGACAAUGGUAGGAGAGCGUUCUAAGGGCGUUGAAGCAUGAUCGCAAGGACAUGUGGAGCGCUUAGAAGUGAGAAU